ensembl:lncRNA
CAAAGAGCAGCCUGUGCCUUCAGAGAAGGCCGGGAGCCCCAGCCGUUAAAGCUAGCCCACGUUGCCUCCUUGUGCCAAAGCCCUCUGCCGCCCCCUCCAUACUCCUGCCCGCUCCAUCCCGCCUCACGAGUUUUCGUUCCAGGGUAAAAUUUCCGUCUUUCCCCUUUGAUUUGGCAAAAUCCUUGCCUCAGAAUGCUAGAUACUUAAGUAUUUUUGAGUGUCCACUAACCUCAAAAUGGAGUUUUUCCACAGAGAAAAACCUUAGCCCUCAGACGAAGACAAAAUGGGAAUAAAUGUGUCAUGGAAAAAAUUAGAAGUCGCUUCCUUCAUUCGGAUGGAAUAAGUUAUUUCAGACUGUGUCUCACACCAGAGUCCUGACAGCGUUGGGAAAACCACUGACCCUUUCCCAUAUACAGGAAAGUCUGUCUCUUUCAAAUACACGAUUCAUUUGACCUUCCUAAGAGUCCAGUGUAGAAGAGGGAUAUGUAGGAUGACUAUCAUGGGCCUCCAAGGCCAGCCCGGAGGAGCCUCGAACCUGUGGGUCAGCCUCAUUGCUGCCUGCAAGGAGGAGAGAAGGGGCUUGUUAAAGGGCUGACUCAGCCCUUGGUCUUUCAGCACAGAAAUAAAGAGCCCGCUCAGUCCCACAGUCAGAUGCCAACUAUUAAAUCAUGCCCACAUGCGUCCCUUUAGGGUAACUACCCUGCCACUAUUCCCUAAGUUGCAACCAUCCACAUGGUUAAUUAUAGGAGUUUUAUUAGCUAACGCAAUAUUCUGAGUAAAAGUUUUGACUCUUUGAGAAAUAGUUAUUUUGCUGCUAACAUUCAACACUUGCUACCCAUGUAAAUUUAAAUCAAUGCCAGAAAAUUUAAAAACAGCUCAAACUUACAAUUGGUAGUGAUCAAACUGAAAAGUACUGUCAACUCAAAGUUGGAAUCGCCUGGUCAUAGGGUGCAGUAAUAUUUAAAUACGAAUGCAAUUUAAACAGCCUUGGCAUGCCUGAGGUUUCUGUCAUUGUGAGUGAUUAAAAGGCCGUCCAAUACACAAAUGGAUUCCAUCUGACCCUUCUCCCAUUAGUUUACCAGGUUUCACAUCUUGAGUUUACGGUAAAGCCACUCACAGGGGCUUACUGAUGGAGCUAGAAGGGGCCUAAACCAUCCUGGCCCUCCACCUACUUCAUCAACGGGCUUUUUGAUGAGUGAUACUUUUAUGAUGUUUCCUGGCAGUGUGGUGGCUAAGAUUCAGCCCUCUCACCACCACCACGGCCCAGGGUUCCCUUCCUGGUCAGGAACCCACACCACCCAUCUGUCGGUUUUCAUACUGUGGUGGUUGCGUGUUGCUGUGAUGCUGAAAGCUAUGCCACCUGUAUUUCAAACACCAGCAGGGUCACCCAUGGUGGACAGGUUUCAGUGGAGCUUCCAGACUAGACAGACUAGGAAGAAGGACCAGGCCACCCACUUCCGAAAAAAUUAGCCACGAAAACCCUGUGAAGAGCAGUGGAGCGUUGUCUGAUAGAGCACCAGAAGGGGAGAGGACGGCACAGAAAGACUGGGCAGGAUUCCGCUCUGCUGCGGAAAGGGCGCUAGGAGUCAGAAUGGACUCCAUGACACUGACAACAAAAAGUAAUACAGUGCUGGAGGAGGGAGCCGCUGAGACUCUCUCCUCUGCUGGAAAAGAUGCCCAUUUUGCAACAAUUAGCACCAAUGCUGUGACAGGAGCCGGACUUAAAAGGACCCGGGCUUUAGGGGACGGGAAGAAAGCUACCGUCCAGAAGGAAGAUAACUGUAGAUUUUGAAAGAAGGUGGAGAUUGUGAAUUCAACACUUAAAUUGCAGUCCUCGUUUUUAAAAAAUGUCUCAUACUGGGCGCCAUCCGCGUAAUUAUUAACUGCCACCUUCCAGAGAGAAGCUCCCCUUUAUUUAUGUUAUGAAAAUGUUUAAUUCUCAAGUCUAAUUAAUUGUUACAUUUACUUACUGGGAACAAUCGCCUAAAUUUUUAAUUCAGGAAAUUAGCCAGAGUAGAAAGUAGCAACUUCUGAAAAAGGCAAGCAAGCUGUCAUUAACAAAAUUUUCUUUAAAAAAAAAAAAAAAUGUUGCUGAUCUAUUUUCUUCCAAAUUCUCUCUCCAUCCGUGACUAGAAAGGAAAACCGGAACUCUGGAGAAGCUGCUGAGCUUCCAGAAGGAAUAGUCCUCAUUCUGGUUAUUGGUCUUGUUUCCCCCGUCUUGGCACCCACCUUGCAUUCGCAGGUGACACCUGACUCUCCCCUCUUGGCCCCCAUCCGCCCGAGCUGAGGCCGUGCGCUUAUUAUGUGCGUCCCCUUCCAAAAGCCCCAGAUUACACCUUCUUGCUUCUGUGCUGCUGACUUGGCCCUCUUAAGCUAAGGUCCCAGAGGGUAGCUGUUACUGUGACGGGUGUGUUAGGCUCAGUCA